rnacentral:rRNA from 1 species
UACGUAGGGUGCAAGCGUUGUCCGGAAUUAUUGGGCGUAAAGAGCUCGUAGGUGGCCUGUCGCGUCGGCUGUGAAAACUCGGGGCUCAACUCCGAGCUUGCAGUCGAUACGGGCAGGCUAGAGUUCGGCAGGGGAGACUGGAAUUCCUGGUGUAGCGGUGAAAUGCGCAGGAUAUCAGGAGGAACACCGGUGGCGAAGGCGGGUCUCUGGGCCGAUACUGACACUGAGGAGCGAAAGCGUGGGGAGCGAACAGG